AAGUCGAACGGAAAGGCCCCGCUUUUGUGGGGUGCUCGAGUGGCGAACGGGUGAGUAACACGUGAGUAACCUGCCCUUGACUUUGGGAUAACUUCAGGAAACUGGGGCUAAUACCGGAUAGGAGCUCCUGCUGCAUGGUGGGGGUUGGAAAGUUUCGGCGGUUGGGGAUGGACUCGCGGCUUAUCAGCUUGUUGGUGGGGUAGUGGCUUACCAAGGCUUUGACGGGUAGCCGGCCUGAGAGGGUGACCGGCCACAUUGGGACUGAGAUACGGCCCAGACUCCUACGGGAGGCAGCAGUGGGGAAUAUUGCACAAUGGGCGGAAGCCUGAUGCAGCAACGCCGCGUGCGGGAUGACGGCCUUCGGGUUGUAAACCGCUUUCGCCUGUGACGAAGCGUGAGUGACGGUAAUGGGUAAAGAAGCACCGGCUAACUACGUGCCAGCAGCCGCGGUGAUACGUAGGGUGCGAGCGUUGUCCGGAUUUAUUGGGCGUAAAGGGCUCGUAGGUGGUUGAUCGCGUCGGAAGUGUAAUCUUGGGGCUUAACCCUGAGCGUGCUUUCGAUACGGGUUGACUUGAGGAAGGUAGGGGAGAAUGGAAUUCCUGGUGGAGCGGUGGAAUGCGCAGAUAUCAGGAGGAACACCAGUGGCGAAGGCGGUUCUCUGGGCCUUUCCUGACGCUGAGGAGCGAAAGCGUGGGGAGCGAACAGG
rnacentral:rRNA from 1 species